GGGUUGGAUGACACUUGUUCAAGCGUGUGGUUGUUAAGGUUGUAAAAUCGCUGACUUUUACUUUUCAGACUAAGCAUAUAACAUUUUUUGGCGUUGAAGCGCAUACCCCAGUCGUCGGCCCAUUUUUCUAGUGAUUUCAGAUCCUCUUGUAGUUUGUUAUGGUCAUUUUGGUUUUUGAUUUCCCGGUACAGCAGACAGUCGUCUGCAAAUAGUCGGACUGAUGAGUUUACUGCCUCUGGGAGAUCAUUUAUGUGACACAGGAAGAGGAUGGGUCCUAGUACCGUUCCUUGGGGGACUCCGGAUUCAACUGAAGCAUUUCUUGAGUUUUCUCCAUCAAGUUGGACUCGCAUUUUUCUUUCGGUUAGGAAUGAAGUUAGCCAUUUGUGGAUAUUUCCUCUAAUUCCAUAUUGGUUUAUUUUGUGCAAGAGUCUAUCAUGAGGUACUGUGUCAAACGCUUUUGAAAAAUCCAGAAUCGCAAUAUCUACUUGGUUUCCUUUAUCGUAGGAUUGUAGCAUAUCAUGGAUUGUAAUGGCAAGUUGGGUCUCACAGGAGUAUCCAGAUCUAAAGCCG
rnacentral:lncRNA from 1 species